GAUGAACGCUGGCGGCGUGCCUAAUACAUGCAAGUCGAGCGAACGGACGAGAAGCUUGCUUCUCUGAUGUUAGCGGCGGACGGGUGAGUAACACGUGGAUAACCUACCUAUAAGACUGGGAUAACUUCGGGAAACCGGAGCUAAUACCGGAUAAUAUUUUGAACCGCAUGGUUCAAAAGUGAAAGACGGUCUUGCUGUCACUUAUAGAUGGAUCCGCGCUGCAUUAGCUAGUUGUUAAGGUAACGGCUUACCAAGGCAACGAUGCAGAGCCGACCUGAGAGGGUGAUCGGCCACACUGGAUCUGAGACACGGUCCAGACUCCUACGGGAGGCAGCAGUAGGGAAUCUUCCGCAAUGGGCGAAAGCCUGACGGAGCAACGCCGCGUGAGUGAUGAAGGUCUUCGGAUCGUAAAACUCUGUUAUUAGGGAAGAACAUAUGUGUAAGUAACUGUGCACAUCUUGACGGUACCUAAUCAGAAAGCCACGGCUAACUACGUG
rnacentral:rRNA from 1 species